rnacentral:rRNA from 1 species
GACGAACGCUGGCGGCGUGCUUAACACAUGCAAGUCGAACGAUGAAGCUGGAGCUUGCUCCGGUGGAUUAGUGGCGAACGGGUGAGUAACACGUGAGCAAUCUGCCCUUGACUCUGGGAUAACUGCGGGGAACUGUAGCUAAUACCGGAUACGAGAUUUGGAGGCAUCUCCGGAUCUGGCAAGAAUUUCGGUCAAGGAUGAGCUCGCGGCCUAUCAGCUUGUUGGUGAGGUAAUGGCUCACCAAGGCGACGACGGGUAGCCGGCCUGAGAGGGUGACCGGCCACACUGGGACUGAGACACGGCCCAGACUCCUACGGGAGGCAGCAGUGGGGAAUAUUGCACAAUGGGCGAAAGCCUGAUGCAGCAACGCCGCGUGAGGGAUGAAGGCCUUCGGGUUGUAAACCUCUUUUAGUAGGGAAGAAGCGAAAGUGACGGUACCUACAGAAAAAGCACCGGCUAACUACGUGCCAGCCGCCGCGGUAA